GGCUCACGCCUGUGCUUUGGGAGGCAUAGGUGGGUGGAUCACUUGAGUCCAGGAGUUCAAGACCAGUCUAGACAACAUGGUAAAACCCCAUAUCUACAACAAAAAAUACAAAAAUAAGCCUGGCACGGUGGCGUGUGCUUGUAGUCCCAGUUACUUGGAAGGCUGAGGUAGGAGGACCACUUGAGCCUGGGAGGCAGAGGUUGCAGUGAGCCGAGAUCGCACCACUGCACUCUGGCCUGGGCAACAGAGCGAGGCUCUGUUGUAACAAAAAGAAAAAAAAAUAAAGUUUAUGAAAAUUAAAUUAAAAAUUCAUUUCCUCAGUCACACUAGUGACAUUUCAAGUUCUUAAACUGUAUUGGUCAGUGCAGAUACUGAACAACUCCAUCAUCACAGAAAGUUCCACUGGUCAGUAGUGGAGUGUGUUAGUUAUCAUGAGAGUGGGUUUCUGAUAAAGGAUAACUUUGUCCCCACUUCAACUUUCCCCAUGCCAUUUCCCUUCUGCCUUCCACCACGGGAUGCGGCAAGAAGGCCCUUGUCAGACGCUGGCACCUUGAUAUUGGACUUCCCAGCCACCAGAGCUGUGAGAAAUAAAUUUCUUUUCUUUAUAAAUUACUCAGUCUGUGGUAUUCUGUUAUAGCAACACAAAAUGGACUAAGACACAUCCUUGGACCCAGCUGGGUAACAUACCUGAACUCCAGGACAAGGAGAAAAAUCUUAUAACAACAGCACAGCUAAUACUUUUUUUGAGUGCUUUCCACAUACCAACUACUGUGUUAAGGCACUGCAUAAGCAUUAUUAUGUUUAAUUCUGUAAGUAAACAAGAUGUACUAAUAUUACUUCAAGAAGACACAGAAAAUCUAAAUUUGAAAAAAGGUUGUCAAAGAUCUACCUCCAAAAAAAAAAAAAUCAGGUCAAGCCAGGUUCUCAAGAAAGUUCUAUCUAACCUCCAAGGAACCAAUGAUUUUUGCUAUUCUGACAAUUCCACAAUAUAGAAGAAAUAGAUGGCUUCCUAUAAGUUUACAAAAAACUUGAUUUCCCAGUUAAUAAUAGGGUAAAUGUAUUAGUACUGCUGCAUAACAAGUUACCACAAAUAGUGGCUUGAAACAAUAAAAAAUUUCCAAAAAACAUAAAGAGCUACUACAACUCAACAACAGGACAAACAACCCAAUUAAAAAGUAGGCAAAAGACUUGUGUUUCUCCAAAGAAAAUAUACAAAUGUCCAAUAAGCACAUAAAUAGAUGCUCAACAUCAUUAGCCAUUAGGGAAAUGCAAAUCCAAACCACAAAGAGAUAUCACUUCAAACCUACUAGGAUGGCUAUUAUUGAAAAAAAGGAAAAUAAGUGUUGGUGAGGAUAUAGAAAAAUUAGAACCCUUGUACACUGCUGGUGGGACUAUAAAGUGGUGCAGCCAUUGUGGAAAAGUUUGGUGGCUCCUUAAAAAGCUAACCAUAAAAUUACCCUAUGAUCAAACAAUUCCACUUCUCAAAUUGAAAACGGGGACUCAAACAGGUACUUGUACAGCAAUGUUCUUGUAGCAUUAUUCACAAUAGCCAAAAAGGUGGAAACAAUCCAAGUGUCCAUCAACAGAUGAAUAGAUUGACAAAAUGUGGUACAUGCACACAAUAAAAUAUUAUUCAGUCAUAAAAAGGAAUGAAGUUCUGACAUAUGCUACCAUACGGAUGAACCUUGGAAACACUGUGCCAAGUAAAAUAAGCCAGACACGAAAGGGUAAAUAUUGCAUGACUCCACUUAUACAAAAUAUCUAGAAUAGGCAAAUUCAUAGAAAAGAGGUUACUGGCUGGGCAUGGUGGCUCAUGCAUGUAAUCCCGACACUUUGGGAGGCUGAAGCGGGUGGAUCACCAGAGGUCAGGAGUUCAAGACCAGCCUGGCCAACAUGGCGAAACCCCAUCUCUACUAAAAAUACAAAAAUUAGCUGGGCAUGGUGGUGGGUGCUUGUAGUCCCAACUAUUUGGGAGGCUGAGACAGAAGAAUUGCUUGAAUCCGGGAGGCAGAGGUUGCAGUGAGCCGAGAUCAUGCCAUUGCACUCAAGACUCGGCAACAAGCGAGAAUCCAUCUCAAAAAAAAAAAAAAUAAGUAAAGAGGUUACUAGAUGCUGGGCUUAGUGGGUGGCGUAUGAGGAGCUAUUGCUUAAUAGUAAUAGAGUUUCUGUUUGUGGUUAUGAAAAAGUUUGGAAAUAGAGAUAACGGUUGCACAGUAUUGUUAAUGUAAUCAGUGCCACUGAAUUGUAUACUUUUAAUGGUUAAAAUGACAAAUGUUUGGUGUAUAUAGCUUACCACAAUUAAAACAUACAUAUACCACACAAAUUUAUUAUUUCACAGUUUCUGUAGGUUAGAAGUCCAAGGUUGGCCUAGCUAAUUUGUCAGUGUCUUACAUGGCUGAAGUCAAGGUGUCAGAAGGAGUUGCUAUCUCAUCUGAUGCAUGGGAUCCUUUUCCAAGCUCACUCAGGUUGUUAGCAGAAGUUAGUCCCCUGUAGUUCUAGGACUGUGGUCUCCAUUUUCUUGCUGGCUAAUGACUUGGUUGGUUGUCAGCUCCUAGAUUUUUCUCCCUAUUCUGGAGUUCAGGUAUGUUACCCAGCUGGGUCUAACGAUGUGUCUUCGUCCAUUUUGUGUUGUUAUUGCAUAAUACCACAACCAUCCACCGCCAUGUUGUUCUCUCCAAAGCACAGUGGUUUUGUCAGAGGCGUUUGAACAAGAGCAACUCCAUCUUAAAUAGGAGCUGGGUGAAAUAAGGCUGAAACCAACUGCUGCAUUCCCAGAUGGUUAAGGCAUUCUAAGUCACAGGAUGAGAUAGGAGGUCAGCACAAGAUACAGGGUCAUAAAGACCCUGCUGAUAGAACAGGUUACAGUAAAAAAGGUGGUCCAAACCCACCAAAACCAAGAUGAUGAUGAAAGUGACCUCUGGAUGUCCUCACUGCUACACUCCCACCAGCGCCAUGACAGUUUACAGAUGCCACGGCAAUGCCAGGAAGUUACCCUAUAUGGCCUAGAAAGGGGAGGCAUAAAUAACCCACCCCUUGUUUAGCACAUCAUCAAGAAAUAACCAUAAAAACGGGCAACCAGCAGCCCUGGGGACUGCUGUGUCUGUGGAGUAGCCAUUCUUUUAUUCCUUUACUUUCUUAAUAAACUUGCUUUUGCUUUGUGCUGUGGACUCGCCCUGAAUUCUUUCUUGCAUGAGAUCCAAGAACCCUCUCUUGGGGUCUGGAUCGGGACCCUUUCCUGUAACAUCUUUCUGGUGGCCACUGAAGGGACUAAAGUGAGGAAACCCCCAACUCAAAGGUUAACUUUGCAUAAGUGUUGGGGUCCUGUAACAUCUUUCUGGUGACCACGGAAGCGACUAUAGUGAGGAAACCCCUGACCCAAAGGCUAACUUUGGGUAAGUGGUGGGAUCCAGUAACAUCUUUCUGGUGAACCACAGAAGGGAUGAUACUGAGGAGAACCCCCCAACCCAAAGGAAAUAGACUUCAGCACUGAUUGGAUGACUUUGGGUAAGUGGGGUACAUAAACCCAGGUAAAGGAUGGGAUUGGGUUAGAGGCCCAACUUAGGGGAGUUAGCAUCUCUCCUAAGACAAAGUGGGUCAGAGGCCCCUCUUAAUAAAAAACAAAGAUGCUUGACUGACCUUGGGUUAGAGGCCCAACUUAGGAGGGUUAGAGUCCCUUCUAAGAUGUAGGGAGUUAGUGGUCCUCUCAGUAAAGUUCCUCUCGGUAAAGUCCCUUUCAGCUAAAAAUGGGUUUGGCACUCCGGGAUGUUAACUGCUAUUCUCUUUGGAUUAAUCUGUCUUGCACUCUUCGCUGAUGGCUGUGGGUGACAAGAUUAGGCACGUACAGGACUGUGGGACAUGGGGAGCUUUUUCUUCCCUAAAAGGGAAAGCUGAGAGCAGAUGGGACUGCUGGAAAAGAUCCCUUCACUUACUGACAAGCAGCCGCCUGAACUUUUCAGUGUCGCUGCAAUGGGUGGGUCUUUCUCUGGCCUCUCUGAGCACCUCACCUUCCCCACUCUGCCUCAGGCAGUGCUUUCCUCUCUCUCUCUCUCUCUCUCUCUCUCUCUCUCUCUCUCUCUCUGUGCAGACUGGUAAAAAUCAUUGUUUAUCUCCUGUAAAGUUUUAAUUAAUUAGAAAAAGGAUUUGUGAGGCUAGUCUUAAGCUGCAGCGAAUCUGGUGUGCUUUACGUGUUUUUCUGUAUUGUUCCAUCAUAAAGAGGGGUACCUUAUGAUGGAACACAGGCUUAGGACACCCAUAAGCCUGCUUUUCAAGACGGCCCAGCAAACUGAGUCAAGGAAACUUUUCAGCUAUUUACAGCUUUUAACAAUUGAGUAAAGCAUACUCCUGUGAACAAAAUUUGGAACAUAUUUGUUUCUCUCUACCUGAUUUCUCCACAAUUUGGAAACUAUGUAUAUCACCUUUUGUUGGACUCAAGAGUUAUGAAUGGCCCUCACCAUACUGAUGCUUUCUGACUGAGCUCCUCACUACCCUGAACACAAGAGGGAGGAAUAUCAUCGCCCCUAUUCAGCCUGGAGAAGUUACAAAAGAUGGAUCUUCGUCCCUCUGCAACCCUUAGGAUUAAUGGUUCUCCUAUAAAAGGGAUGGGGGGAAAAUGUCAGAGGCAUUUGAACAAGAGCAACUCCAUCUUAAAGAGGAGCUGGGUAAAAUAAGGCUGAAACCUACUGGGCUGCAUUCCCAGAUGGUUAAGGCAUUCUAAGUCACAGGAUGAGAUGGGAGGUUGGCACAAAAUACAGGUCAUAAAGACCCUGCUGAUAAAACAGGUUGCAGUAAAGAAGCUGGCCAAAACCCACCAAAACCAAGAUGGCAAUGAGACUGACCUCUGGUCGUCCUCACUGCUACACUCCCAUCAGUGCCAUGACAGUUUACAGAUGCCAUGGCAACAUCAGGAAGUUACCCUAUAUGGCCUAGAAAGGGGAGGCAUGAAUAAUCCACCUCUUGUUUAGCAUAUCAUCAAGAAAUAACCAUAAAAAUGGACAACCAGCAGCCCUGGGGACUGCUGUGCCUGUGGAGUAGCCAUUCUUUUAUUCCUUUACUUUUUUUUUUUUUUUUUUUUUUUGGAGACGAGUCUCGCUCAGUCACCCAGGCUGGAGUGCAGUGGCACUAUCUCGGCUCAUUGCAAGCUCCGCCUCCCAGGUUCACGCCAUUCUCCUGCCUCAGCCUCCCGUGUAGCUGGGACUACAGGUGCCCACCACUACGCCCAGCUAAUUUUCUUGUAUUUUUAGUAGAGACGGGGUUUCACCCUGUUAGCCAGGAUGGUCUCGAUCUCCUGACCUCGUGACCUGCCCAUCUCGGCCUCCCAAAGUGCUGGGAUUACAGGC
rnacentral:lncRNA from 1 species